rnacentral:rRNA from 1 species
AAGACCUUGCGCUUUUGGAGCGGCCGAUGCCUGAUUAGCUAGUUGGUGGGGUAAUGGCCUACCAAAGCUUCGAUCAGUAGCUGGUCUGAGAGGACGGCCAGCCACACUGGGACUGAGACACGGCCCAGACUCCUACGGGAGGCAGCAGUGGGGAAUUUUGGACAAUGGGGGCAACCCUGAUCCAGCCAUGCCGCGUGAGUGAAGAAGGCCUUCGGGUUGUAAAGCUCUUUCAGCCGGAACGAAACGGUUACGGAUAACACCCGUGACUACUGACGGUACCGGAAGAAGAAGCACCGGCUAACUACGUGCCAGCAGCCGCGGUAAUACGUAGGGUGCGAGCGUUAAUCGGAAUUACUGGGCGUAAAGCGUGCGCAGGUGGUUUUGUAAGUCAGAUGUGAAAGCCCCGGGCUCAACCUGGGAACU